rnacentral:rRNA from 1 species
UACAGAGGGUGCGAGCGUUGUUCGGAAUUAUUGGGCGUAAAGGGCGCGUAGGCGGUGCCACAAGUCACUUGUGAAAUCCCCGGGCUUAACUCGGGGCCUGCAGGCGAAACUGUGGUGCUGGAGUAUGGGAGAGGUGAGUGGAAUUCCACGUGUAGCGGUGAAAUGCGUAGAGAUGUGGAGGAACACCAGUGGCGAAGGCGACUCUUUGGCCUGUAACUGACGCUGAGGCGCGAAAGCGUGGGGAGCAAACAGG